GACGAACGCUGGCGGCGUGCCUAAUACAUGCAAGUCGAGCGAGCUUGCCUAGAUGAUUUUGAUGCUUGCAUCAAAUGAAACUAGAUACAAGCUAGCGGCGGACGGGUGAGUAACACGUGGGUAACCUGCCCAAGAGACUGGGAUAACAUCUGGAAACAGAUGCUAAUACCGGAUAACAACAAUAGACGCACGUCUAGAGUUUGAAAGAUGGGUUUUCUAUCACUCUUGGAUGGACCUGCGGUGCAUUAGAUAGUUGGUAAGGUAACGGCUUACCAAGGCAAUGAUGGAUAGCCGAGUUGAGAGACUGAUCGGCCACAUUGGGACUGAGACACGGCCCAAACUCCUACGGGAGGCAGCAGUAGGGAAUCUUCCACAAUGGACGAAAGUCUGAUGGAGCAACGCCGCGUGAGUGAAGAAGGGUUUCGGCUCGUAAAGCUCUGUUGAUGGUGAAGAAAGAUAGAGGUAGUAACUGGCCUUUAUUUGACGGUAAUCAUUUAGAAAGUCACGGCUAACUACGUGCCAGCCGCCGCGGUAA
rnacentral:rRNA from 1 species